ACAAAAUCCAGAUCACGGCGGAGUCACCCACGCUCCCUCCACUCUCGCCCCCACAGCCGCACAACCGGCGGCCUCGUCUCCCACUGCCUCCGCGGCCUCUCCCUCGCACGCCUCGCCGGCACCUCUGCCUCACCCGCGUCACCGGCGCCUCUCCCUCUUGGGCCGUUGUUGCCUAUUGGUUGGCUCAGUCGUUGUCGCCCCUGAUGUGCCGCGGCGCUGUGACCCGGCCUCACAGGCACGACCAGGGUGACAACAGCUCCCCGACACCGACGACAGCUCAAAGCUCUGUGGCUCGGCGUGCGCCGAGCGACGCGCCGCGGGGGCACCGCCGCCUCAGCUGGAAGCGUGGCCGACCACCCGUCCACGUCCCCAUCGCUACCGCCGGCCAGCCACACGACGUCACGCUCGUCCAGCUCGAAGCACGCGCCGUCGUGGACCGCCUUCGGCUGCUUCAGCAGGCCAAGAAACCAAAACGCCCCCCCACGCCCGGCGACCUCGGCAUCUCCAUCGAUCGUCUCAGCAAGCGCUACCUCGCCCGGCUCCCACAUUGCUGAUGCAAGCCAAGAAAAAGGGAGUGCCAGGAGUAGUACUCUGAAUCCAUCGAUGCAAAUGAUCCAAACAUGUGAAUCAAGUUGUGAAAGGUUAUAAAACAUGCAGAAAACCGAUCGCAUGCUCACCAAUACUCCAGCGAGGCAUCACUACCUGGGUUCCUAGUUCAUUGAAGGGACAAACAUCAAACUCUGGAAGAUAUUUUUGAAAUGAUGAAGUCGACAGCAAGAAGCUCAAGGAGUUUUAAUGGGCCACAUUAAAAUUUGUGAGCUCAUCGGAACAGGGCAGUAACCUUUUCAUCCCCUUGCAUACUAUUUGAGGAAAGAGUUUUUAGAAAACAGUUGAGAACUACUGUAUAUCUCCAUAUGGCAUUGUAGAAUUAAAAAGGUUAUUUACUAAAAAGUGAUUUACAUAAUUUGAGAACCACUGUAACUAAAAAGUGAUUUACGCCCUGUCUGCCAUCUAUAAAAUUUGUGAAAAUGGAAGCUUGCAUUUGAUUUAUUGCUUCCUGCUUUUAAAUAGUAUGUAGUAACAGUUGAGAACAUCCGUAUAAAAAUUAUAGAACAAAACUGGUGAUUUACUAAAAAGUGAUUUACACCCUCUCUCUGCCACCUAAAAUUGUAACAAUGGAAGCGAGACCUGUAAGAUUGGUUUGCCAUCGGAGCAGGAGGUUAUUUGUUGCCUCCAUUUGCCUCUAUAAAAAUUAUGACAAUGGAAGCUAGCAUUUGAUUUAUUGCUUACUGCUUUCAAAGAGUUCUUAGUAAUAGUUGAGAACUGCCGUAUAUCUCCAUAUGGCAUUGUAGAACAAAACUGGUGUUUUACUAAAAAGUGAUUUACACCCUCUCUCUGCCACCUAUAAAAAUUGUGACAAUGGAAGCUUGCAUUUCUCCAUAUCAAGAACGGGAGUAUAGAUUCUAAUCGCAGAUAUUUACCUCUUUUACAGUGAUUCUAAUACCAUUUUAUUCCUUAAAUCUAACAGCUCGAUGCCUCGCUCGUACAUAAGAAGGCCAUGUGCGCAUUGCUGGAGCUAUAAUGAACAGUUGGGGCUACUACUGAGUACAUAAGAACAGUUGUGGCACUCAGAAACAAAGCAGCGGCGGCACUGGUGCCUCCUGCUCCGAUGGCAAACUUUGAAAGAAACAGGCCUCGCCCAGCCGCUCCAAUGGCAAACUGGUAGGAUCCCAAACCGAGACCUGGAAGCAUGGAGAAACAGGCCUCGCCUGUCCCGCUUAGAAACGUUUUGAAAAUUGGUUUGUUGUUGUAUAUGGAAGGGGUGAGAUGGACACACUAUGAUUGGUCGCUUUAUUUUUGGGCAUUGGAGGUGUAAGAUGGAAAGAACGAAAAGAUUGAUUGGCGUUGUACAUCUGUUUUCGAUUGCGAUGCGAUUUGAUUCCUGUUGGGUAUGGACAGUAUUAUUUGGAAAGGAUAAUAUUGUUUGGAAAGGAUGCCAUCGGGUAAUAUUUGAUUCCUGAUGUGUAUGGAAAGUA